rnacentral:lncRNA from 1 species
GUCCUCUUCACUGCAGCUUCCGGCCUCAGGGCCACCUCAGCCUCCAGCAGUGAGCCCCACCCGUGAGGGAUGCCCAUCUCCACCAGGACAGACCAACAAGGGCAGUCUGGACACCAUGCUGGGCCUGCUGCAGUCUGACCUCAGCCGCCGUGGUGUUCCCACUCAGGCCAAGGGCCUCUGUGGCUCCUGCAAUAAACCUAUUGCUGGGCAAGUGGUUACCGCCCUGGGUAGAGCCUGGCAUCCGGAGCACUUCCUUUGCAGAGGUUGUUCCACAACCCUGGGAGGCAGCAGUUUCUUCGAGAAGGAUGGGGCUCCCUUUUGCCCUGAGUGCUACUUUGAG